rnacentral:tRNA from 1 species
GCGGACGUGGCGGAAUUGGCAGACGCGCCGGAUUUAGGUUCCGGUGCCAUAGGCGUAUGAGUUCAAGUCUCUUCGUCCGCACCA